AUUGAACGCUGGCGGCAGGCCUAACACAUGCAAGUCGAGCGGUUGAGAGUAGCUUGCUACUUGAUGCAGCGGCGGACGGGUGAGUAACGCGUGGGAAUCUGCCCAGUAGUGGGGGACAACAGCCGGAAACGGCUGCUAAUACCGCAUACGCCCUACGGGGGAAAGGGGGGGAUCUUCGGACCUCUCGCUAUUGGAUGAGCCCGCGUCGGAUUAGCUAGUUGGUAGGGUAAAGGCCUACCAAGGCUACGAUCCGUAACUGGUCUGAGAGGAUGAUCAGUCACACUGGAACUGAGACACGGUCCAGACUCUUACGGGAGGCAGCAGUGGGGAAUAUUGGACAAUGGGGGAAACCCUGAUCCAGCCAUGCCGCGUGUGUGAAGAAGGCCUUAGGGUUGUAAAGCACUUUCAGUGGGGGGAAGGGCAGUAAGUUAAUACCUUGCUGUUUUGACGUUACCGACAGAAUAAGCACCGGCUAACUUCGUGCCAGCCGCCGCCGUAAAAC
rnacentral:rRNA from 1 species